rnacentral:rRNA from 1 species
UGGGGAAUAUUGCACAAUGGGCGCAAGCCUGAUGCAGCAACGCCGCGUGAACGAUGAAGGUCUUCGGAUCGUAAAGUUCUGUUGCAGGGGAAGAUAAUGACGGUACCCUGUGAGGAAGCCCCGGCUAACUACGUGCCAGCAGCCGCGGUAAUACGUAGGGGGCUAGCGUUAUCCGGAUUUACUGGGCGUAAAGGGUGCGUAGGUGGUCCUUCAAGUCGGUGGUUAAAGGCUACGGCUCAACCGUAGUAAGCCGCCGAAACUGGAGGACUUGAGUGCAGGAGAGGAAAGUGGAAUUCCCAGUGUAGCGGUGAAAUGCGUAGGUAUUGGGAGGAACACCAGUAGCGAAGGCGGCUUUCUGGACUGCAACUGACACUGAGGCACGAAAGCGUGGGUAGCAAACAGG